rnacentral:rRNA from 1 species
GGGUGCACCAGGCGCGAAACCUUUACAAUGCUGGCAACAGCGAUAAGGGGACCUCGAGUGCCACGAUACAAUCGUGGCNGUCUAGUUGCCUAAAAAGCAAUUGAUAGCAAGGGCCGGGCAAGACCGGUGCCAGCCGCCGCGGUAACACCGGCGGCUCGAGUGGUAACCGCUAUUAUUUGGUCUAAAGGGUCUGUAGCCGGCUUAGUCAGUCUUUUGAGAAAUCUGGCCGCUCAACGGUCAGGCGUUCAGGGGAUACUGCUAAAGCUCGAGACCGGGAGAGGUGAGAGGUACUUCAGGGGUAGGGGUGAAAUCUUGUAAUCCUUGAAGGACCACCAGUGGCGAAGGCGUCUCACCAGAACGGAUCUGACGGCAAGGGACGAAAGCUAGGGGCACGAACCGGAUUAGAUACCCGGGUAGUCCUAGCCGUAAACGAUACUCGCUAGGUGUCGGCCACGGUGCGACCGUGGUCGGUGCUGUAGGGAAGCCGUGAAGCGAGCCACCUGGGAAGUACGGCCGCAAGGCUGAAACUUAAAGGAAUUGGCGGGGGAGCACAAGGGCGAUUCGCGGCC